CAGCCGCCGCGGUAAGACAGAGGAUGCAAGCGUUAUCCGGAAUGAUUGGGCGUAAAGCGUGCGUAGGCGGCUUCUUAAGUCGGAUGUGAAAUCCCUGAGCUUAACUUAGGAAUUGCAUUCGAUACUGGGAAGCUAGAGUAUGGGAGAGGAUGGUAGAAUUCCAGGUGUAGCGGUGAAAUGCGUAGAGAUCUGGAGGAAUACCGAUGGCGAAGGCAGCCAUCUGGCCUAAUACUGACGCUGAGGUACGAAAGCAUGGGGAGCAAACAGGAUUAGAUACCCGAGUAGUCCCUGUCUCUUAUAC
rnacentral:rRNA from 1 species